AUGAAUCCCCAUGGAUUUCCAAGUCGUAUGACAAUAGGCAAAAUGCUUGAACUUGUUGGGGGGAAGGCUGGUGUGUCGUGUGGUCGAUUUCAUUAUGGCAGUGCAUUUGGUGAACCAAGUGGUAAUGCUGAUAAAGUUGAAGACAUGAGCUAUAUUCUUGUCAAGCACGGCUUCAACUAUCUUGGAAAAGAUUUAUUGUACUCAGGCAUUUUAGGCCAUCCUCUUGAGACAUAUAUCUUCAUGGGGCCAAUCUACUACCAGAAGCUGAAGCACAUGGUUCUUGAUAAGAUGCAUGCUCGGGCUAGUGGACCACGAGUUACGAUGACCAGGCAGCCUACUGAAGGGCGAAGCCACAAUGGAGGCCUGCGUGUGGGUGAGAUGGAGCGUGAUUGCUUAAUUGCGCAUGGUGCCAGCAUGCUAAUAUUUGAGCGUCUCCUACUAUGCAGUGAUCCAUAUAAAGUGCAGGUUUGCGGAACAUGCGGUUUGUUAGGCUACUACAACCAUAAACUCAAGACAUCCUUCUGUUCAUUCUGCAAAAAUGGGGAAAAUAUGGCCCAAGUGACGAUGCCAUAUGCCUGCAAGCUUUUGUUUCAGGAACUGCAAUCGAUGAACGUUGUACCACGCCUGAAAUUAACCAAAGAAUGA
rnacentral:rRNA from 1 species